rnacentral:lncRNA from 1 species
UGCUAAAUUGGGGUAUAUUCUCCCAGAGACGAUGCCCAGUUGUGCUGCCUCCAUUUUCGAAUGUUGGAUUCAUUUUGCUCCAACCAAAGACACCCUAGAGUUGAUACCAAUUAGUAUUGAUUGUUCUAGAUAUGGUCUUUCAUGUGAAAAUUAAAGGGUGGUGAGAACAGUAAACAGAAGCUACCUCGAUAUAUGCAUCAAACAAGGCCAAAUUCAU